CAGUGGGGAAUUUUCCGCAAUGGGCGCAAGCCUGACGGAGCAACGCCGCGUGGGUGACGAAGGAUUUCGGUCUGUAAAGCCCUUUCAGUCGGGACGAGUCGCAGACGGUACCGACAGAAGAAGCAUCGGCUAACUACGUGCCAGCAGCCGCGGUAAGACGUAGGAUGCGAGCGUUGUCCGGAAUUAUUGGGCGUAAAGCGUACGUAGGCGGUCAUCUAAGUCUGGGGUUAAAGACCAAGGCUCAACCUUGGGAGUGCCCUGGAUACUGGGUGACUGGAGGACGGCAGAGGAAAGUGGAAUUCCCAGUGUAGCGGUGAAAUGCGUAGAUAUUGGGAGGAACACCAGUGGCGAAAGCGACUUUCUGGGCCGUUCCUGACGCUGAGGUACGAAAGCCAGGGGAGCAAACGGGAUUAGAUACCCCGGUAGUCCUGGCCGUAAACGAUGGAUACUAGGUGUCAUCGGUAUCAACCCCGGUGGUGCCGUAGCUAACGCG
rnacentral:rRNA from 1 species